CAGCGCCACGGUAAUACGAAGGUCCCGAGCGUUGUUCGGAAUCACUGGGCGUAAAGGGAGCGUAGGCGGCGUGGUAAGUCAGAUGUGAAAUCCCGGGGCUCAACCCCGGAACUGCAUCCGAUACUGCCAUGCUAGAGGAUUGGAGAGGUAGCUGGAAUUCUUGGUGUAGCAGUGAAAUGCGUGGAGAUCAAGAGGAACACUCGUGGCGAAAGCGAGCUACUGGACAAUAACUGACGCUGAGGCUCGAAGGCCAGGGUAGCGAAAGGGAUUAGAUACCCCAGUAGUCCCUGUCUCUUAUAAA
rnacentral:rRNA from 1 species